CCAUUCUGGUAGCUCAAUUCAAGAGCAUAGCAUUGAAGCUGCUAAGGUGGGCAAAUAAGCUCCCGGAA
rnacentral:tRNA from 1 species